rnacentral:rRNA from 1 species
UAGGGAAUCUUCGGCAAUGGGGGGAACCCUGACCGAGCAACGCCGCGUGAGUGAAGAAGGUUUUCGGAUCGUAAAGCUCUGUUGUUAAGGAAGAACGAGUGUGAGAAUGGAAAGUUCAUGCUGUGACGGUACUUAACCAGAAAGGGACGGCUAACUACGUGCCAGCAGCCGCGGUAAUACGUAGGUCCCGAGCGUUGUCCGGAUUUAUUGGGCGUAAAGCGAGCGCAGGCGGUCAAUUAAGUCUGAUGUGAAAGCCCCCGGCUCAACCGGGGAGGGUCAUUGGAAACUGGUUGACUUGAGUGCAGAAGAGGAGAGUGGAAUUCCAUGUGUAGCGGUGAAAGGCGUAGAUAUAUGGAGGAACACCAGUGGCGAAGGCGACUCUCUGGUCUGUAACUGACGCUGAGGCUCGAAAGCGUGGGUAGCAAACAGG